rnacentral:rRNA from 1 species
UACGGAGGGUGCAAGCGUUAGUCGGAAUAACUGGGCGUAAAGGGUGCGUAGGCGGAGAUGUAAGUCAGACGUGAAAUUCCAAGGCUUAACCUUGGAGCUGCAUCUGAAACUACAUUUCUUGAGGAAUGGCGGAGAAAACGGAAUUCCACGUGUAGCGGUGAAAUGCGUAGAUAUGUGGAAGAACACCUGUGGCGAAAGCGGUUUUCUAGCCUUCACCUGACGCUGAGGCACGAAAGCAAGGGGAUCAAACAGGAGUUAGAAACCCUUGA